rnacentral:rRNA from 1 species
GUAAGGAAUAUUGGACAAUGGGCGAAAGCCUGAUCCAGCUAUCCCGCGUGCAGGAUGACGGCCCUAUGGGUUGUAAACUGCUUUUAGUAGGGAAGAAACCCCUCGAUUUAUCGGGGGCUGACGGUACCUACAGAAUAAGCACCGGCUAACUCCGUGCCAGCAGCCGCGGUAAUACGGAGGGUGCAAGCGUUAUCCGGAAUCACUGGGUUUAAAGGGUGCGUAGGUGGCUUGGUAAGUCAGUGGUGAAAGCCCACCGCUUAACGGUGGAAUUGCCAUUGAUACUGCCAGGCUUGAAUAAGGCUGAGGUCGGCGGAAUGUGUCAUGUAGCGGUGAAAUGCAUAGAUAUGACAUAGAACACCAAUUGCGAAGGCAGCUGGCUAGACCUUUAUUGACACUGAGGCACGAAAGCGUGGGGAGCGAACAGGAUUAGAAACCCCUGUAGUCC